rnacentral:rRNA from 1 species
AGAGUUUGAUCCUGGCUCAGGGUGAACGCUAGCGGCAGGCUUAACACAUGCAAGUCGAGGGGCAGCAGGAGGUGGCAACACCUUGCUGGCGACCGGCGCACGGGUGCGUAACGCGUAUGCAACCUGCCCCGUACAGGGGGAUAACGGAGGGAAACUUCCACUAAUACCCCAUGACGACGCGAGGCCGCAUGGUCGUGCGUCUAAAGCUUUGGCGGUACGGGAUGGGCAUGCGUGGCAUUAGGUAGUUGGCGGGGCAACGGCCCACCAAGCCGACGAUGUCUAGGGGAGCUGAGAGGCUAAUCCCCCACACUGGUACUGAGACACGGACCAGACUCCUACGGGAGGCAGCAGUGAGGAAUAUUGGUCAAUGGGAGGAAUCCUGAACCAGCCAUGCCGCGUGAGGGAGGGAGGCCCUAUGGGUUGUAAACCUCUUUUGCCUUGGGGCAAUAAGGGCGGUGCGCCGUCCGAUGAGAGUACAAGGCGAAUAAGCAUCGGCUAACUCCGUGCCAGCAGCCGCGGUAAUACGGAGGAUGCAAGCGUUAUCCGGAUUUAUUGGGUUUAAAGGGUGCGUAGGCGGGCGCUUAAGUCAGCGGUGAAAUACACCGGCCCAACCGGUGGGCUGCCGUUGAUACUGGGUGCCUUGAGGGCGAGCGGCGCCGGCGGAAUGAGUGGUGUAGCGGUGAAAUGCAUAGAUAUCACUCAGAACACCGAUCGCGAAGGCAGCUGGCGAGGACGCGACUGACGCUGAGGCACGAAAGCGUGGGGAUCAAACAGGAUUAGAUACCCUGGUAGUCCACGCAGUAAACGAUGAUGACUUGUUGUCGGCGAUAUAGUGUCGGUGACAAAGCGAAAGCGAUAAGUCAUCCACCUGGGGAGUACGAUCGCAAGGUUGAAACUCAAAGGAAUUGACGGGGGCCCGCACAAGCGGAGGAGCAUGUGGUUUAAUUCGAUGAUACGCGAGGAACCUUACCUGGACUCAAAUGUUGAGCGACGGGGCCAGAGAUGGCCCUUCCCUUCGGGGCGCUUAGCAAGGUGCUGCAUGGUUGUCGUCAGCUCGUGCCGUGAGGUGUCAGGUUAAGUCCUAUAACGAGCGCAACCCCUACGUCCAGUUGCCAGCGGGUAAAGCCGGGGACUCUGGAGGGACUGCCGGCGCAAGCCGAGAGGAAGGUGGGGAUGACGUCAAAUCAGCACGGCCCUUACGUCCAGGGCGACACACGUGCUACAAUGGCCGGUACAGAGGGCAGCCACCAUGCGAGUGGGAGCGAAUCUCGAAAGCCGGUCUCAGUUCGGAUCGGAGUCUGCAAC